UGUUGUUCAGUGGUAGAGUGUUUGCCUGGAAUGUAAAAGGCUCUGGGUUUGAUCCCCAGUA
rnacentral:tRNA from 1 species